UACGGGGGGGGCAAGCGUUGUUCGGAAUUACUGGGCGUAAAGGGCUCGUAGGCGGCCAACUAAGUCAAACGUGAAAUCCCUCGGCUUAACCGGGGAACUGCGUCUGAUACUGGAUGGCUUGAGUUUGGGAGAGGGAUGCGGAAUUCCAGGUGUAGCGGUGAAAUGCGUAGAUAUCUGGAGGAACACCGGUGGCGAAGGCGGCAUCCUGGACCAACACUGACGCUGCGGAGCGAAAGCCAGGGGAGCAAACAGG
rnacentral:rRNA from 1 species